GCGGCUGCACCACUGGGAUACCCUGAUCCAACAUCGAGGUCGUAAACCCACCUGUCGAUAGGGGCUCUUGGGGUGGAUUGCGCUGUUAUCCCUAGGGUAACUUGGUUCGUUGCUCAAAAUAUUGGGUCAAUUUAUGUCAGUUUAUCGGUGCUUAAAGUUGUGGCUUUUGGUUCAAGAGUAGUUCUAUUCAUCAUGGAGGAUAAUUUUUGCUCCGCGGUCACCCCAACCCAAAACUAAUAGUUAAAAGGCUAAAGUUGGUAUGAGAACCCGGGGGUGAAAAUGGAUUAAAGCCAAUGCUAUAUAGUUUGAAGCUCCAUAGGGUCUUCUCGUCUUAUAUUUAAAUUCCCGCUUCUUCACGGGGAGAUUAGUUUCAUUGAUCAGAAAAAGGAGACAGCGUAACCUUCGUGGUGCCAUUCAUACUAGUCCUCAUUUAAAGAACAAGUGAUUACGCUACCUUCGCACGGUUAGGAUACCGCGGCCGUUGAACUGGGUCACUGGGCAGGCUGGACCUCUUAUAUUAGUGCAAGAGGCGAUGUUUUUGGUAAACAGGCGAGGUUAAUGUUUGCCGAGUUCCUUCUUUUUCUUUAAAUCUUUCUUGAAAUGUGCUAGUGUCAGAUUAACGUUAAUAAUAACAGGGUUUUCUAGUGGGGGUUGCUGUUGUAAAGUCAUAAACGUUUAAUUAUCAGUGGUUAGUCCUUUCUGAUCUACACCUACAUUUAAGAGAAGUGCUAUCUUCUUAUUACUAGUUUCAACAUAAGGACUUCUAUAGUAUUAUAGAAUAACUUAAUAUAAAUAAAGGG
rnacentral:rRNA from 1 species